CUGAAUUUAAGCAUAUUAAUGAGGGGAGGAAAAGAAACUAACAAGGAUUUUCUUAGUAGCGGCGAGCGAAAAGAAAAUAGUUCAGCACUAAGUCACUUUGUCUUUAUGGCAAAUGUGAGAUGCAGUGUAUGGAAUGUCAAAUUUCUAGUAUGAGAAAUUAACGAUUUAAGUCCUUCUUAAAUGAGGCCAUUUACCCAAAGAGGGUGCCAGGCCCGUAUAACGUUAAUGAUUACUAGAUGGCAUUUCCAAAGAGUCGUGUUGCUUGAUAGUGCAGCACUAAGUGGGUGGUAAACUCCAUCUAAAACUAAAUAUAACCAUGAGACCGAUAGUAAACAAGUACCGUGAGGGAAAGUUGAAAAGAACUCUGAAUAGAGAGUUAAAUAGUACGUGAAACUGCUUAGAGGUUAAGCCCGAUGAACCUGAAUAUCCAUUAUGGAAAAUUCAUCAUUAUGAUUUUAAUAUUUAUAAUAUUAUAAUAAUGGUGUGCAUUUUUUCUAUAAAGGACAUUGUAAUCUAUUAACAUGCAUUAUUUAUCAUAAGAUCAUUAGAUUAUGUUUAUUCAAAUUACUUUGCUUGCAAUUUAAUAUCGAAUAAAUUCUUUUGAUUUGAUAAAGUGUUGAUAGAUUUAUUAUAUACAGUGCUUAAAUAUUUAUAUUUUAUAAUAUCAUAUUAAUCAAUGAUUUUUAUGUUCAUUAUAUGCACUUGUAUGAUUAACAAUGCGAAAGAUUCAGGAUACCUUCGGGACCCGUCUUGAAACACGGACCAAGGAGUCUAACAUAUUUGCAAGUUAUUGGGAAUAAAAACCUAAUAGCGAAAUUAACAUAACUUUAAUGGGAUUAGUUUUUAGCCUAUUUAUAGUCUAUUAAUUCAAUCCCGGGGCGUUCUAUAUAGUUAUGUAUAAUAGUAUUUAUAUUAUUUAUACCUCUAACUAGAGCGUACCUUGAGCAUAUAUGCUGUGACCCGAAAGAUGGUGAACUAUACUUGAUCAGGUUGAAGUCAGGGGAAACCCUGAUGGAAGACCGAAACAGUUCUGACGUGCAAAUCGAUUGUCAGAAUUGAGUAUAGGGGCGAAAGACCAAUCGAACCAUCUAGUAGCUGGUUCCCUCCGAAGUUUCCCUCAGGAUAGCUGGUGCAUUUUAAAAUUAUGUAAAAUAAUCUUAUCUGGUAAAGCGAAUGAUUAGAGGCCUUAGGGUCGAAACGAUCUUAACCUAUUCUCAAACUUUAAAUGGGUAAGAACCUCACCUUUCUUGGUAUGAAGGUAGUGGUUGUGAUAUAAUGUGCCCAGUGGGCCACUUUUGGUAAGCAGAACUGGCGCUGUGGGAUGAACCAAACGUAAUGUUACGGUGCCCAAAUUAACAACUCAUGCAGAUACCAUGAAAGGCGUUGGUUGCUUAAAACAGCAGGACGGUGGACAUGGAAGUCGUAAUCCGCUAAGGAGUGUGUAACAACUCACCUGCCGAAGCAACUAGCCCUUAAAAUGGAUGGCGCUUAAGUUGUAUACCUAUACAUUACCGCUAAAGUAGAUGGUUUAUAUUCAAUUUCGGUUGGAUUUUAAACUUUGAAACUUUAGUGAGUAGGAGGGUACAAUGGUGAGCAUAGAAGUGUUUGGCGUAAGCCUGCAUGGAGCUGCCAUUGGCACAGAUCUUGGUGGUAGUAGCAAAUAAUCGAAUGAGACCUUGGAGGACUGAAGUGGAGAAGGGUUUCGUGUGAACAGUGGUUGAUCACGAGUUAGUCGGUCCUAAGUUUAAGGCGAAAGCCGAAAAUUUUCAAGUUAUAAGCAUAUAAAUAAACAAAAAUAUACAUAAGUAUAUAUGAGUGAAUUAAAGUAAUAAAACACUUGAAUAAUUUUGAACGAAAGGGAAUACGGUUCCAAUUCCGUAACCUGUUGAGUAUCCGUUUGUUAUUAAAUAUGGGCCUUGUGCUCAUCCUGGCAACAGGAACGACCAUAAAGAAGCCGUCGAGAGAUAUCGGAAGAGUUUUCUUUUCUGUUUUAUAGUCGUACUACCAUGGAAGUCUUUCGAAGAGAGAUAUGGUAGAUGGACUAGAAGAGCAUGACAUUUACUGUUGUGUCGAUAUUUUCUCCUCGGACCUUGAAAAUUUAUGGUGGGGUCACGCAAACUUCUCAACAGGCCGUACCAAUAUCCGCAGCUGGUCUCCAAGGUGAAGAGUCUCUAGUCGAUAGAAUAAUGUAGGUAAGGGAAGUCG
rnacentral:rRNA from 1 species